ACAUUGAAGGAUGCGGCCAUAGAAUUAUCUUAGAAGGAGUGGGAAUGUCUGAAUCCUGCUCAGUGGAAUUUGUAUAGGGAUGUGAUGUUAGAAAACUACAGAAACCUGGUUUCCCUAGGUGGUCUUGCUGUCUCUAACCCUCAUCUGAUCUGCUGCCUUAAGCAAAUAAAAGAGCCCUGGAAUGUGAGGAGACGUGAGACAGUAGUCAAA
rnacentral:lncRNA from 1 species